rnacentral:rRNA from 1 species
GACGUAGGGCGCGAGCGUUGUCCGGAUUUAUUGGGCGUAAAGAGCUCGUAGGCGGCUUGUCGCGUCGAAUGUGAAAACUCGGGGCUCAACUCCGAGCUUGCAUUCGAUACGGGCAGGCUAGAGUUCGGUAGGGGAGACUGGAAUUCCUGGUGUAGCGGUGAAAUGCGCAGAUAUCAGGAGGAACACCGACGGCGAAGGCAGCUUACUGGGCCGAUACUGACGCUGAGGAGCGAAAGCGUGGGGAGCGAACAGG